UUUUCGACAAAUGGCAGAAACUUCUUACAAUGCCUUAACACAUAAUCUCUCUCUCUCUCUAGAACCUUCUUCUCCACCGCCUUAUAUAUAUAUACGUCACUCCCUCGGUUUCUCUUCCAAUCUGACACGUAACGAACACUCUCUCAGAGUUCAUUGUUUUUCCUUCAAAAUUUGAUAACUUGCAGACAGAACAUCGAAAUGAAGUGAAGUGAAAACGAAGUCUCAAAUGGAAGGAGUUGUAGUAAAAGAAGAGGAAACUCAAAUGACGUUUGCAACAGCUGUUGGGACUACUGCUGGGUUUUCUUCAUCUUCAUCGUCAUCAAAUGUUACUCCUCAGCCGAAGGAAGGGCUUAACGAGGUUGGUCCGCCGCCGUUCUUGACUAAAACUUUUGAUAUGGUGGAAGACCCUUCGACUGAUUCGGUGGUUUCAUGGAGUGAAGCUCGUAAUAGUUUCAUUGUUUGGGAUUCUCAUAAAUUUUCAACCACGUUGCUUCCUAGGUACUUCAAGCACAACAAUUUCUCCAGUUUCAUUCGUCAGCUCAAUACAUAUGGUUUUAGAAAAGUUGAUCCAGAUCGAUGGGAAUUUGCCAAUGAAGGGUUUUUAGGAGGGCAAAAGCAGCUACUUAAAACAAUUAAGAGGAGAAGGAACAUAGUGCAAAGCUCACAGCAUCAAGCCGGAGGAGGAGGAGCUUGUGUUGAGUUAGGACAAUUUGGAUUAGAUGAAGAACUGGAGAGAUUAAAGAGGGAUCGAAGUGUUUUACUAGCUGAAAUAGUGAGAUUAAGACAACACCAGCAGCAUUCAAAGGACCAGAUUGUUGCAAUGGAGGAUAGGUUACAGAGCACAGAGAAGAAACAGCAACAGAUAAUGUCGUUCCUUGCUAAGGCACUUCGAAACCCGACUUUCAUACGGCAACUUGCUCAGAACAGACAGGCUCAAGGCGUCGAAAUCGGACGAAAACGGAGGCUCAUGGCGAGCCCCAGUGUGGAGAAUUUACAACAAGAAGCAGUCCCUGUGGUGGUUGAUAAUGAUCAAGUUGAGGAACAAGAAGGAUUGGCAACUAUUGAGACUGAAAUUGAGACCUUUUUCAAUUCUGCAAUGGAUGAUGAAUCAAGUACUGAAAUCAAGGAUCAUAUACCAAGUCCAAUGCCAUUAUCAAGUGUGACUAAUAAUUUGGGUGUUAACGAAACAUUAUGGGAAGAGUUAGUACAUGAAGACUUAUUAGCUGGUGAACCAAAAGAGGAAAUUGUUGUUGGUGAUCAAGCUGAAGUUGAUGUUGAAGUUGAGGAUUUAGCAGCAAAUCCUAUUGAUUGGGGUGAUGAUUUGCAAGAACUUGUGGAUCAGAUGGGUUAUCUCAGGUCAAAUCCAUGACCAAAAAAACUAAACACAUUAAAUGGAAUGUAAUGGAUGAUGUUGUUGUUCUAGCCCUUUUGAGUUGGUCUCUUUGACACCGUUCCUUGUUUUCUAAAACCGGGAAUGGUGACAGUUUGCCAAGGGGCCAACGGAUAUGUUCCUGUUAUUCACUGUAUCCUUAAUUUAAUCAUCAAAAUUUAUCUUCAAUUUCCUUUUCAUAGUAUUUAAUCAUCAAAAUUUGUCUUCAAUUUCCUUUUCAUAGAUUCCUUUAAAGCAUUACAUUAUAUUUAUUGUUUUUUUCUUGUAAUUUUUCGCAGGCGAAGUAAGUGAACAGAGGUUUAUGAAGGUACCCUUUGAAGCCAUGCAUCUUCCACAGGCUUCAAGUUUCACAUUUUUGGUGUUUCUGCACUAACGCUUGUUUGGUUUCCAUGUUAAUUUCUUGUUUGUGUUUACUCCAUGUAUAUAUGGUCCGUGUAUGUAUACAUUGUGAUUGGCUGGUAUUAGUAAUGGAUUAAGGAUUGAUUAUUUUGGAA